rnacentral:lncRNA from 1 species
UGAUAAAGUGAAUAGAUUAAAGUAUAUAACUUAAACUGUUAAGACAAUAUAUAGGUUUACGCUUAUUGACCUUUUUCUGUCUACGUUAUGACUUUAUUUAUGCGAUGUGUGUAUUAUUCUCGGACAAUACUCGUGAAAGACCUGUAUAAAGGUGAAAUGUUAUUUGCAGAUCGGUAAAUUGCUUGGCCUCUAGGGCACACCGUGCCAGGUGUGACUGUCUAUUCGGAUCAGUGGGUUAUACGACAGGAGGUCAAGUUUAAUACACAAAUUUAAAAUACAUUUUCAAGGUGUUGACAAAUACAAGUGAAUCGCCGUGGAAUUAUUUAAUUAUAUUUGGUGCUAUUAUUUUAUUUGAAUUCAAAGAAGUUACUAAACUAAGAAAUGAACCGGUUAAAGUCUGGAAAUUAAAUUUAGUUGUCGGAAUGAAAUGAUAUACACUCUUAUCAUUUAUUUAUAUUUUUUUAAAGGG